rnacentral:rRNA from 1 species
AGCGAGACUGUGAAGUGGAGCAAAUCUCAAAAAAUUGUCUCAGUUCGGAUUGCAGGCUGCAACUCGCCUGCAUGAAGUCGGAAUUGCUAGUAAUCGCGGAUCAGCAUGCCGCGGUGAAUACGUUCUCGGGCCUUGUACACACCGCCCGUCACACCAUGGGAGUCGGUAACACCCGAAGCCCAUGUCAAAGUGGUCGAAGGUAGGCUUGAUGAUUGGGGUGAAGUCGUAACAAGGUAUC